rnacentral:rRNA from 1 species
GACGUAGGGCGUUGAGCGUUUGUUCCGGGAUUUUAUUGGGCGUAAAAGAGCUCGUAGGCGGCUUGUUGCGUCGUUCCGUGAAAACCCGUGGCUUUAACUGCGGGCUUGCGGGUCGAUACGGGGCGGGCUGGAGUUCGGUAGGGGGAGACUGGAAUUCCUGGUGUAGCGGUGAAAUGCGCGAUAUCAGGAGGAACACCGGUGGGCGAAGGCGGGGUC